rnacentral:rRNA from 1 species
CCUACGGGUGGCAGCAGUGAGGAAUAUUGGUCAAUGGGCGGGAGCCUGAACCAGCCAAGUCGCGUGAAGGAAGAAGGUACUUAGUAUUGUAAACUUCUUUUGUCGGGGAAUAAAGGCGGAGACGCGUCUCCGGAUGAGUGUACCCGAUGAAAAAGGAUCGGCUAACUCCGUGCCAGCAGCCGCGGUAAUACGGAGGAUGCGAGCGUUAUCCGGAUUUAUUGGGUUUAAAGGGUGCGAAGUGGGGAGAUAAAGUCAGCGGGAAAAUGUCGGGGCUCAACCCCAGACGGCCGUUGAAACUGGUAUUCUAGAGUUGAAGAGAAGUAUGCGGAAUUCGUGGUGUAGCGGUGAAAUGCAUAGAUAUCACGAAGAACCCCGAUUGCGAAGGCAGCUUACUAAACUGUGACUGACAUUGAUGCUCGAAAGUGUGGGUAUCAAACAGGAUUAGAUACCCCAGUAGUC